rnacentral:ncRNA from 1 species
CUCAGCUGCGCGGCGUCUGAGGGCUUCGUGCCCAAAGUGCUAUGCUUCGGCCGGCAAAAAACAGUCAACUCAGAACUGGCACGGACCGGGGGAAUCCGACUGUCUAAUUAAAACAAAGCAUUGCGAUGGCCGCUGGUCGGUGUUGACGCAAUGUGAUUUCUGCCCAGUGCUCUGAAUGUCAACGUGAAGAGAUUCAUCAAAGCGCGGGUAAACGGCGGGAGUAACUAUGACUCUCUUGUGGUAGCCAAAUGCCUCGUCAUCUAAUUAGUGACGCGCAUGAAUGGAUUAACGAGAUUCCCACAGUGGGUACUUUUAGUACCGCUGGUUUUCCCGGGCCGUUCCACUGGCUGUAAAAUACAAUAGUUGGUUUCAUUUAUAACCCCUUAAUUCCAAUUGGCUUUUUCCUGAAAUUUUCACUUGAUCACAUGAUCCUAUUCAUUUUUAUUGGAAUUGGGUUAAGCCUGCGGUGCGAAAGCGGGAGCGGGCAGGGGACAAGUUUUUCUUAAAUUUUUUACAAGAGCCCCGACUCAAAAUCUGUCCCUAUCUACUAUCUAGCGAAACCACAGCCAAGGGAACGGGCUUGGAAAAAUCAGCGGGGAAAGAAGACCCUGUUGAGCUUGACUCUAGUCUGACUCUGUGAAGAGACAUGAGAGGUGUAGCAUAAGUGGGAGGCCGUGAACCCUCGCGGUUGUGUCGUGCCGUCAGUGAAAUACCACUACUUUCAUCGUUUCUUUACUUACUCGGUGAAGCGGAAAGCGGACCAUGAGUGUCCACGCUUCUAGCACUAAGUGCAAGGCCCUUCGUUGGCCCGCACGAUCUGUUCCGAGGACAGUGUCAGGCGGGGAGUUUGACUGGGGCGGUACAUCUGUAAAAGUGGUAACGCAGGUGUCCUAAGGCGAGCUCAGCGAGGACAGAA